UGGCUCAGGAUGAACGCUAGCGGCAGGCAUAACACAUGCAAGUCGAGGGGCAGCGGGGAGGAAGCUUGCUAUCUCCGCCGGCGACCGGCGCACGGGUGAGUAACACGUAUGCAACCUGCCCCUGUCAGGGGGACAACCCGCCGAAAGGCGGGCUAAACCCGCGUACAUGCCACCGGGGCAUCCCGGAGGCAGGAAAGGCUUCGGCCGGACAGGGAUGGGCAUGCGGCGCAUUAGGCAGUAGGCGGGGUAACGGCCCACCUAACCGACGAUGCGUAGGGGUUCUGAGAGGAAGGUCCCCCACACUGGUACUGAGACACGGACCAGACUCCUACGGGAGGCAGCAGUGAGGAAUAUUGGUCAAUGGUCGGGAGACUGAACCAGCCAAGCCGCGUGAGGGAUGAAGGUACAGAGUAUCGUAAACCUCUUUUGUCAGGGAACAAAGGCGGGGACGUGUCCCCGGAUGAGUGUACCUGAAGAAAAAGCAUCGGCUAACUCCGUGCCAGCAGCCGCGGUAAUACGGAGGAUGCGAGCGUUAUCCGGAUUUAUUGGGUUUAAAGGGUGCGCAGGCGGUCUGUUAAGUCAGCGGUCAAAGCCCGGGGCUCAACCCCGGCCCGCCGUUGAAACUGGCAGUCUCGAGUUGGAGAGAAGUAUGCGGAAUGCGCGGUGUAGCGGUGAAAUGCAUAGAUAUCGCGCAGAACUCCGAUUGCGAAGGCAGCAUGCCGGCUCCACACUGACGCUGAGGCACGAAAGCGUGGGUAUCGAACAGGAUUAGAUACCCUGGUAGUCCACGCAGUAAACGAUGAAUGCUGGCUGUCCGGGGGGGAUUGACCCCUGGGUGGCGAAGCGAAAGCGAUAAGCAUUCCACCUGGGGAGUACGCCGGCAACGGUGAAACUCAAAGGAAUUGACGGGGGCCCGCACAAGCGGAGGGACAUGUGGUUUAAUUCGAUGAUACGCGAGGAACCUUACCCGGGCUCAAACGGGGAGUGACUCAGGCAGAGACGCCUGUUUCCCACGGGACACUCCCCGAGGUGCUGCAUGGUUGUCGUCAGCUCGUGCCGUGAGGUGUCGGCUUAAGUGCCAUAACGAGCGCAACCCCCGCGUGCAGUUGCUAACAGAUAACGCUGAGGACUCUGCACGGACUGCCGGCGCAAGCCGCGAGGAAGGCGGGGAUGACGUCAAAUCAGCACGGCCCUUACGUCCGGGGCGACACACGUGUUACAAUGGGUGGUACAGCGGGAAGCCAGGCGGCGACGCCGAGCGGAACCCGAAAUCCACUCUCAGUUCGGAUCGGAGUCUGCAACCCGACUCCGUGAAGCUGGAUUCGCUAGUAAUCGCGCAUCAGCCAUGGCGCGGUGAAUACGUUCCCGGGCCUUGUACACACCGCCCGUCAAGCCAUGGGAGCCGAGGGCGCUUGAAGUGCGUCGCCGCGAGGCGCGCCCUAGAGCGAAAUCGGUGACUGGGGCUAAGUCGUAACAAGG
rnacentral:rRNA from 1 species